AGCGAACGCUGGCGGCAGGCCUAACACAUGCAAGUCGAACGAACCCUUCGGGGUUAGUGGCGGACGGGUGAGUAACACGUGGGAACGUGCCUUUAGGUUCGGAAUAACUCAGGGAAACUUGUGCUAAUACCGAAUGUGCCCUUCGGGGGAAAGAUUUAUCGCCUUUAGAGCGGCCCGCGUCUGAUUAGCUAGUUGGUGAGGUAAUGGCUCACCAAGGCUACGAUCAGUAGCUGGUCUGAGAGGAUGACCAGCCACAUUGGGACUGAGACACGGCCCAAACUCCUACGGGAGGCAGCAGUGGGGAAUCUUGCGCAAUGGGCGAAAGCCUGACGCAGCCAUGCCGCGUGGAUGAUGAAGGUCUUAGGAUUGUAAAAUCCUUUCACCGGUGAAGAUAAUGACUGUAGCCGGAGAAGAAGCCCCGGCUAACUUCGUGCCAGCAGCCGCCGUAAUAC
rnacentral:rRNA from 1 species